rnacentral:rRNA from 1 species
AUUGAACGCUGGCGGCAGGCCUAACACAUGCAAGUCGAACGAGUGGCGGACGGGUGAGUAAUGUCUGGGAAACUGCCCGAUGGAGGGGGAUAACUACUGGAAACGGUAGCUAAUACCGCAUACCAUCGGAUGUGCCCAGAUGGGAUUAGCUAGUAGGUGGGGUAACGGCUCACCUAGGCGACGAUCCCUAGCUGGUCUGAGAGGAUGACCAGCCACACUGGACCUGAAACACGGUCCAGAGUCCUGCGGGAGACGGCGGUGGGGAAUAUUGCGCGAUGGGCGCAAGCCUGGUGCAGCCAGGCCGCGUGUAUUAAGAAGGCCUUCGGUUUGUAAAGUACUUUGAGCGAGGAGACCUUACUCGCAGCGGAAGCACCGGCUAACUCCGUGCCAGCAGCCGCGGUAAUAC